rnacentral:rRNA from 1 species
CCUACGGGAGGCAGCAGUGAGGAAUAUUGGUCAAUGGGCGGAAGCCUGAACCAGCCAAGCCGCGUGAGGGACGACGGUCCUAUGGAUCGUAAACCUCUUUUGUCAGGGCACAAAGGCGGGGACUAGUCCCCGGUUGAGGGUACCUGAAGAAAAAGCAUCGGCUAACUCCGUGCCAGCAGCCGCGGUAAUACGGGGGAUGCGAGCGUUAUCCGGUUUUAUUGGGUUUAAAGGGUGCGAGGUGGGCCUGUUAAGUCAGCGGUAAAAGCCCGGGGCUCAACCCCGGCGAGCCGUUGAAACUGGCGUGCUUGAGUUGGAGAGAGGUAGGCGGAAUGCGCGGUGUAGCGGUGAAAUGCUUAGAUAUCGCGCAGAACCCCGAUGGCGAAGGCAGCGUACCGGCUCCAAACUGACGCUGAGGCACGAAAGCGUGGGUAUCGAACAGGAUUAGAUACCCGGGUAGUC